GCAGACACAUUCCAGCCAAUCAGCAGCAGACCCUCCCUCCCAAACCCUCCCACCUCCUGGACAGCAUCCAUUUUGAAGCUGCAUUCUUAGUGAGCUGUCCAGGAAGUGGGAGGGUCUGGGAGGGAGGGUCUGCUGCUGAUUGGCUGGAAUGUGUCUG